GUUAAGAAUAGAUCCUCAUAAUUAUGUUCCAGUUACAUAUGUUGAUGAACUGAAUUGGUUCCAAGAAGUGAUGAGGUUUGGUCCAACAGUGUUGCUUCUUGCUGUCCUUUAUUUUAUGGGACGUAGAGUGCAGGGUGGGAUGGGUGUUGGAGGCCCUGGUGGAAAAGGUGGUCGUGGAAUAUUUAACAUUGGCAAAGCGCAUUUCACAAAGAUGGAUAAAAAUGCCAAGAAUAAGGUCUUCUUUAAAGAUGUGGCUGGAUGUGACGAGGCAAAGCAAGAAAUCAUGGAGUUCGUCCACUUCCUUAAAAACCCGAAGAAAUAUGAGCUGUUGGGAGCCAAAAUUCCGAAGGGUGCUCUUCUAGUUGGUCCUCCUGGGACUGGGAAGACACUUCUGGC
rnacentral:misc_RNA from 1 species